GCCUCUGUGGCUCAGUUGGUAGAGCGCCGGUUUUGUAAACCGAUGGUCGUGGGUUCGAAUCCCACCAGAGGCU
rnacentral:tRNA from 1 species